GACAAUUCACUAACUAACUAACUUAUUUUUCUUUCAGGUGUAACAUCUACCAAUGGUUGUACAUGACAUAGACCUCCUCCACCUCUUUGCUGUCCUACUAGUCAACCCUCCUGAUCAGAGCCUUUCCUACAUAGUGAAAGGAUCAUGCCAGCCCACAUCAAACACCUGAUCAAGAACUUGUGAAUCUUCAGGCAGAAAAGAUGAAAACACCUGUUCAAAGUUCCAGUUUCCUGUACAUGGAACCAUGUACUCUGUUCCACAUGUCUUCAGUCAGUUCUGGACCCCAUGACUCGGACACUAGUUCUACCAAGGCUCAUUAGAGAGUGCUUCAGAGGAUGGCUGAAUUCACAAAACGUGGAGAAGACCGAGAGGGGGAAGUUGGCCGGUUACUAUAAUACAGGACCUUGUGAAAAGCGGAAAGAAACAGUUGAAG